GUGGGGAAUAUUGGACAAUGGGCGCAAGCCUGAUCCAGCCAUGCCGCGUGAGUGAUGAAGGCCUUAGGGUUGUAAAGCUCUUUCAGUGGGGACGAUAAUGACGGUACCCACAGAAGAAGCCCCGGCUAACUUCGUGCCAGCAGCCGCGGUAAUACGAAGGGGGCUAGCGUUGUUCGGAUUUACUGGGCGUAAAGCGCACGUAGGCGGAUCGUUAAGUCGGGGGUGAAAUCCUGGAGCUCAACUCCAGAACUGCCUUCGAUACUGGCGAUCUUGAGUCCGGAAGAGGUGAGUGGAACUCCUAGUGUAGAGGUGGAAUUCGUAGAUAUUAGGAAGAACACCAGUGGCGAAGGCGGCUCACUGGUCCGGUACUGACGCUGAGGUGUGAAAGCGUGGGGAGCAAACAGGAUUAGAUACCCGUGUAGUCC
rnacentral:rRNA from 1 species